rnacentral:lncRNA from 1 species
UACCGAUAUAAAAUACAUAUAGAAGAUAACUAACUUUCUACGAUACUUCCUUUUUGCAUCAAUCAAAAGGACUAAGUAUUGAAGAACAAUUACAAUAUGAGAAGAGAAUAAACGUAUAGAGUUGAUUAUUUUGUACAGUUUGUGAAAAAUGUAAAUGUGACGUUUCGAUGCCCGAGAGCAACAACAUCAAAUGUAUCUAUUAAAUAAUUUUUUUUAAAUAUACUACCGCAGAACAUUCCAUCCCU